GGGGUGGACGGCCUCUGCAAAGUGGCCUGAUCAGAUUCCUGAGCAUCUAGGUCAUUGGGCAGGAUGGCGCCUGGCUGGAGCCACCGUUGCUCUCUUCUGACCUUGAAAGGUGUGACAAGUGGAUCUGCAUUCAUUGCUCUGUGAGCCUCUAUUGAGUAUCUAUGAUGUGCUGGGCAUUGACCUGAUCUUUAUGAGAAUUUGGUUAUUUGGAUGAAAUGCUUAUUUCUUUUUUAACAUAAGCAUUGACUGGAAAUAUUGGUUAUUCUGUCUGAUAUUACAUGAAGGUCAGAUGCCCUCCAUGCAACCAUGAGGUCGGAUGGCAGUUUGAUGCUGAACCAGCAAACAAGCCUACUCAGCAUGAAACUAUGAGUAUAAAAACCUUUAUGAUGACCUACCUCCACUUGGAUCAAUGAAGAGAAGAAGAGUUGUGGACAUAGACACAUACAGAGAGAAGACCAUGUGAAGUCACAGGGAGAAGACAGCCACCUACAUACCAAGGAGAGAGGCUGUACAAGAAACCAACCCUGAUGACACCUUGAUCUUGGACUUCCAGCUUCCAGAUUUACAGGAAAAUAAAUUUCCGUUGUUUAAGCCACACAGUCUAUGGCAUUUUGUUAUGGCAGUUCUAGCAAACUAAUAUACAGCCUAUAUCAUAUACUACUCAGUUUGACUACUUUUAUUUUGGAACAUAUUAUACUUUUGCUACUUUUGCUUAUGCAGUUUCUUUUGCUUAGUGUCCCUUGCUAGUAGAUAUUUAUAUUUAAAGAUAUUUUAGGCCUGGCACAGUGGCUCACACCUGUAAUUCCAACACUUUGGCAGGCUGAGGUGAGUAAAUCACUUGAGGCCAGGAGUUUGAGAUCAGCCUGGCUAACAUGGCGAAACCCCUUCUCUACUAAAAAAUACAAAAGUUAGCUGG
rnacentral:lncRNA from 10 species